rnacentral:rRNA from 1 species
GAUGAACGCUGGCGGCGUGCCUAAUACAUGCAAGUCGAGCGAACGGACGAGAAGCUUGCUUCUCUGAUGUUAGCGGCGGACGGGUGAGUAACACGUGGAUAACCUACCUAUAAGACUGGGAUAACUUCGGGAAACCGGAGCUAAUACCGGAUAAUAUUUUGAACCGCAUGGUUCAAAAGUGAAAGACGGUCUUGCUGUCACUUAUAGAUGGAUCCGCGCUGCAUUAGCUAGUUGGUAAGGUAACGGCUUACCAAGGCAACGAUGCAUAGCCGACCUGAGAGGGUGAUCGGCCACACUGGAACUGAGACACGGUCCAGACUCCUACGGGAGGCAGCAGUAGGGAAUCUUCCGCAAUGGGCGAAAGCCUGACGGAGCAACGCCGCGUGAGUGAUGAAGGUCUUCGGAUCGUAAAACUCUGUUAUUAGGGAAGAACAUAUGUGUAAGUAACUGUGCACAUCUUGACGGUACCUAAUCAGAAAGCCACGGCUAACUACGUGCCAGCAGCCGCGGUAAUACGUAGGUGGCAAGCGUUAUCCGGAAUUAUUGGGCGUAAAGCGCGCGUAGGCGGUUUUUUAAGUCUGAUGUGAAAGCCCACGGCUCAACCGUGGAGGGUCAUUGGAAACUGGAAAACUUGAGUGCAGAAGAGGAAAGUGGAAUUCCAUGUGUAGCGGUGAAAUGCGCAGAGAUAUGGAGGAACACCAGUGGCGAAGGCGACUUUCUGGUCUGUAACUGACGCUGAUGUGCGAAAGCGUGGGGAUCAAACAGGAUUAGAUACCCUGGUAGUCCACGCCGUAAACGAUGAGUGCUAAGUGUUAGGGGGUUUCCGCCCCUUAGUGCUGCAGCUAACGCAUUAAGCACUCCGCCUGGGGAGUACGACCGCAAGGUUGAAACUCAAAGGAAUUGACGGGGACCCGCACAAGCGGUGGAGCAUGUGGUUUAAUUCGAAGCAACGCGAAGAACCUUACCAAAUCUUGACAUCCUUUGACAACUCUAGAGAUAGAGCCUUCCCCUUCGGGGGACAAAGUGACAGGUGGUGCAUGGUUGUCGUCAGCUCGUGUCGUGAGAUGUUGGGUUAAGUCCCGCAACGAGCGCAACCCUUAAGCUUAGUUGCCAUCAUUAAGUUGGGCACUCUAAGUUGACUGCCGGUGACAAACCGGAGGAAGGUGGGGAUGACGUCAAAUCAUCAUGCCCCUUAUGAUUUGGGCUACACACGUGCUACAAUGGACAAUACAAAGGGCAGCGAAACUGCGAGGUCAAGCAAAUCCCAUAAAGUUGUUCUCAGUUCGGAUUGUAGUCUGCAACUCGACUACAUGAAGCUGGAAUCGCUAGUAAUCGUAGAUCAGCAUGCUACGGUGAAUACGUUCCCGGGUCU